rnacentral:miRNA from 1 species
AAUUUGUAUAUAUAUGUGUAUGUGUGUGUGUGUGUGUGUAUAUAUAUAUAUAUAUAUACACACACACACACACACACACACACACACAUU